UUUUAAUUCACUUAGUUAAGUGAAUGUUUGUACCAUUACUAACAUGCAAUACAGGAAUACCACCUAACAGACACACAUGCAAGACCAAGUUUAAUACAGAACGCCACUUAUCAGAACCAUACAAGAGGGUUCCUGAAGUGACUGAGGAAUACACUUUGAAGUGGUGAAGAGAAAGCCACACUUGGAAAUUGUUUGGGUGAUAACAGCUGUUUAAUCUCUGCAACAUGAAACUCUACAGAGGUUGAAAACAAACAAACAUCAAGGAAAUGCCCACAGGAAGCUCUCUCUACUCUGUCCUAUCUGAACUACUACUGUUACCUGUCCUGGUCGGGUUAAAGCUGUUGAUAAACAAACAUCUUGUGGUAAAUCACUGUCAGGGAGAACUGGCUACAAUAAAUCGUGGUAAAAUACCCAAAUGACAUGAAAUACUCAGGGAUCUCUACCAAGCAUCUCUUUAGCUGAGUUAUAGGCAACUGAGAAAGCAAGUAUUAUUUUGAAUGCUUGCACACCUACAUUCCAACAGAUAAUCCAAAAGCUGUUUUACUAGUUGACGUGUUACAGAGCACUAAAUGAGAACAGAGAAUAGAAUGACCAAAGCUAUGGCGGUAGAAAAGAUGAAACUGCAUCAUCACUGGUGUCUUUGGCAAUGACAGUUAAAAUGCAUUAUACAGCAUGUACUAAAAUAUCAUUAGCUUUUCCAGAAAUUAUAUAUUACAAGAUGUACUGUAUCAAAACACUGCAAAGUCUAUUUUCUUUGAAUAGAUGAGAAAUAGACACACAAAGAAUACAUUAAUACUUAGAUAAAGGUCAUGCCCAAAAUGUAUUCACAGAUGAUAAAAUACAAACCAGAAUAUGAAAGUAGAUUUUCAAGUUUGGGCUUUUUAAAAUCUCAAAAUACUUAAGCCACACCUAGUAGUUUAAAAGUCGUGUUUAAGAAGGAAGGUCAUGGAAGAAGCUAAUAUGCAGAAAUGAAAGACGGUAUAAAAUACAACAAAGGGAAGGGGAAAAGUAAGAGAAGCUAGUGUAGUCAUCAUAGCAGUUUCACCUUUCCUACUUUGAGCUACAGAAGAAAAAACAGUAGCAGACAUUCAAAAGUCUGUGGCACAGAAAGGAGUUUAUUAGAUAAAAACAAUGAACAUUAUUAUUAAUGAAGUAAAGCCAUCAGCAUUCACUAAAUAUCUGUUCUGCACAUGGAUACGUGCAGUAUGUUUGUGCGUCAAUUAGCUUUUCAAGACAAAUUAUGAAUACAGUUUUUACUAUCCGAAGUUUUUGAGUUUGGCUGAAGUUUGACUUUAUGGUUCUUAGAGUAAACAUGAAAAGCAUCAGCCAACUUCUAUCACACUAAUUAUAAUCAUACAUACUUAUCUCACAAUAACCUUCACUUAAGUAUGGCUUAGGUAGAAGCAGAACUGAACAAAAUUCUUCAGCCUUUCACAGCAGUAAAAAGGUUCAGGCUUAGAACGAGAGCAAGAAUCCCAGAUUAGUUAGGGGCAGGAAUUAAUGACAGCAGCCUCUGGUGCAUGCAUUUGUGAGGACACAAAGAGAAUGAGCUCUGAAAGGCUGUUGUUCUUCCCACCUCUGAAAUAAUACUUUACAUUUCAUGAGGUAAAUUGCCCACACAAUUGUCAGUUCUGGAAGAAGACAGAAAAAUGGAUUACUGAAAAUCUACAGUGAGAGUGCUCAAGAAGGAAAAUCAAUGAGAAGACACUGAUUCCUUCUUGGUAUUGAGGAAAUUUAGAUCUCAACUAUCUUGGAUUACAGCUCGCAAAUAGAGAAAUCAAGAGACUAACAAGAGUAACAGAAACAGGCAUUUCUUGUAAGCAGUUGUGGGUACACUUUCUGGAUACAAAAGAUUUGAACUACCACACCACAUCCCAUUUCAAGCUAAAACCACAGCAGAUCUAAUCCUUUCUGGGGAGCAGGGUGGGGAAUAACUAGAUCUGGCUCAAAAAUGACAGUGUUGGUAUACAUCCAUGUAAAAACUGUUGUUGUUGAAAGUUUUAUUAUCCUUCUAGUUCUUGUAGAUGAAUUUAAAAAGAAGUUUUUGGAAAUGCUGCUAUUUUACUCUAAUUUGUAGACAGGAGAAAAAAAAUACAAUGAUAGGUUAAUUCUAAAGAUUCUCUGAUUUCUUGGCCUACUCCUCACCCCCCCCCCCCCCAUGGAAAAGCAUGAGUCAAACUUCUUGCCAGUCAACACCCACUCUCCAGUUACAGAAAUAUCAGAAGUUUUAUCUGCUUUAAGAUAAUUUCUUAACAUAUUAUCUAGAGACAAACCAAUCCCUUUGUACAUAUUGACAACAGUUUCACCCCCUCCUAUAGAUCCACCUCUCAUUUUCAUAGAAUCAUAGAAUCUUUUGAGUUGGAAGGGACCUUUAAAGGCCACCUAGUCCAACUCCCCUGCAUUUAACAAGGACAUCUACAGCUACAUCAGGUGCUCAGAGCCUGA